rnacentral:rRNA from 1 species
UACGAAGGGGGGCUAGCGUUGCUCGGAAUCACUGGGCGUAAAGCGCACGUAGGCGGCUUACUAAGUCAGGGGUGAAAUCCUGGAGCUCAACUCCAGAACUGCCUUUGAUACUGGUGAGCUUGAGUCCGGAAGAGGUGAGUGGAACUGCGAGUGUAGAGGUGAAAUUCGUAGAUAUUCGCAAGAACACCAGUGGCGAAGGCGGCUCACUGGACGACUGUUGACGCUGAGGUGCGAAAGCGUGGGGAGCAAACAGG